CUGCGACCCAUUUCCGUCCCCAAUUCAUUAAAAAUAUGGGCGCCAAUUUUGUUGCUAUCUCAGCUCUCAUCUAUAGUGGCCCCAUUUUGGCGCUCACGAUCCGACCAUAGUCUACAGUGCCGACACCUCCGAUUUGGCCACACCAUCGUUCUAGAUUCUGAUAGUUCCAGAUAAAUACACCAGCUCCGUCAGUGUACAACAGCGGCACCUUCAGAUUAGGCACCUUCGUUCCAACCAUUCGCCGACCGUUGCUUCGAAAUUAUGACAAGAGAAGGGAAAGAAAUUUUGGACAAUGUCGAAGCCGUUAUGUUGGUGGAGUCUGAUGACGAGAGUGAUCAUGAUAAUACAAAAUUACAAGGUGAUGACGGAACAGGAGGGAAUGGUGUGAUUGUGACUGUGCCUGUGCUUGUGCCUGAGGUGGGCAUGAAGUUUAAGGACGAAAAUGAAAUUUUCGAUUUUUAUAAAAGAUAUGCAUAUGACAUGGGUAUGAGAAAACAAAAUUCGAAAAGGGACGAUGAUGGAGUUCUGCAAUAUGUCACUUACGUUUGCAGCCGCAAAGGGAAAAAAAUCAAUAAUACAAGUGUUUCUUUAAAGCCACACGCUACCAUUCAAAAUGGAUGUAAAGUCAGGCUUACAGCAUGCUCAGAUAUUCUUAGAAUAUGGCGAAUUAACACAGUGCACCUAGACCACAACCAUAAAACAAGUCCUUUAAAAUCCAGAUUGUAUAGAUACAACAGAGAAUUAAGCAUGCAAGUGAAACGUUGUCUUGAAGUAAAUAACAUUGCAGGAAUACUGCUACACAAUUUCAAUUCUGCAGUUGUCGAAGCAGGUGGAUAUGAAAACAUGACCUGCAUUGAGAAUGACUGUCGAAGUUAAGUUGAACAAGUUAGGUGGCUAAGACUUGGCGAAGGUGAUGUCGCAACAAUACAGUCAUACUUUUCAACUAUGCAAGCACGGUGCUCAGGGUCUACUUCAAUAUUGAUUUGGAUGAAGUGUCAUGUCUGAAAAAUAUUUUUUGGGCAGAUAAUAGGAGUCGGCAGGCAUGUAUGGAAUUUGGUGAUGUUGUCACAUUCGAUACCACAUACCUAAUGAACAAGUAUAAUAUGCCGUUUACCCCUUUUGUUGGAGUGAACCAUCACGGACAGUCUACUCUCCUCGGAUGUGGUCUCAUAUUGAACGAGGAUACUGACACAUUUGUGUAGCUUUUUCUAACAUGGCUGCAGUGCAUAAACGGCCAAGCUCCUAAUGGGAUAAUUACUGAUCAAGCUAGGGCAAUGCAGAACACAAUCCAGAUCGUGUUUCCCAAUACGAAGCAUAGGUGGUGUCUUUAGCACAUAUUGAAAAAUUGCCAAAUAAAUUUGGAUUUCACAUUAACAAAGCUUCGAUAUUCUCUGCUAUAUACGGAUUGGUUUAUGAUUCUCAAUUUGUUAAAGAAUUCGAAGAAGGUUGGCUAGCGAUAAUAGAAAUGUAUAAUUUGCAAGACAAUGAAUGGUUAUCAUGCCUUUAUGAUAAUAGAUCUCGUUAGGUUCCUUGCUUUUUGCGGACCACUUUCUGGGCGGGCAUGUCAACAACUCAAAGAAGUGAAAGUAUUAAUGCAUUUUUCGACGGGUAUGUUCAUUCAACGACCUCGUUGAAGCAUUGAACAGUACGAAAGAGCAUUGAGAAGUAAGGCUGAGAAAGAGUUUCAAGUAGAUUUCAAAUCGUUCUCACAAAUGGUACCUUGAGCGACUAGGUAUGAAAUGGAGAAACAAUUCAAGGCAGUAUACACAAUUUCGAAGUUUAAGGAAGUUCAGGAGGAGUUCGUUGGCAAAGUUUAUUGCGAUCUCGUCUCUGUUAGCAAGGGAUUUCUGGGGGCGACAUAUGAGAUACACGAAGACAUCAUACAUGAUCAUCAUUGUACUAGAAAAACAUUCUUGGUCUCAUUAUCAAGUGACAAAUGGGAAGUUAUUUGCAGCUGUCACUUAUUCGAGUUCGAGGAAUCCUAUGCAUGUAUGCAAUCACGGUACUGAUACGCAGUGGAGUGAAAAUGUUGGCAAAUAAAUACAUUUUACGGAGAUGGCGGAGAGAUGUUAUCAGAUCCCACACGAGGGUUGUGGUGAACUAUGACGGGUUGGUUAAUACCCUAGCACAGUUGAUGUACGAUAAGAUUGUUAAAGCAUUUGCUACAUUGGCAAACAUUACUUGUGAUGAGAUGUAAAAGAUGGUUCAAUAUUAGAAUGGAUUGAAUCUCAAUGCAAACAGAUGGAUGCGUCGAAGUCCAAUUACGAGAGUAAUGUCUUGUCUAGUCAUAGUACUCGUAUAGCGUCUCAUGAUAUCGCAUCAGAGGAUAUUAGCAGUGGCUGCGUUAGCGUUCGGGAUCCAAAAGGGGUGAAGAGAAAGGGCGCUCCUAGAAAACUUUGCAAGAAGUCCCCGUUGGAAUUGAGUUCAAAUAAAGCGACGAUAUGUUACAUUACCUUUACCACAACACUUAUUUCUCGUGUUCAAAUACAAAGAAAAUAAAGUUUUGAUAAUCUGUGAUGUAGGCGGGUUGCAUUGCACCCAAAGGGAAAAAAUACAAGGCACGCCAAAGUAAUCCUGGAGUUGGAGCAACCAUGUUUCAGAUAACCCAACAAUCACAAUUCGAGGCAAUGCUAAUACCGUUAUCAUAUUCACAGUUCGUAAUGGGAAGGACCCAGAGCAUUGGGUUCUCACAACACUUACAACCGUCUACUUCCAUUCGCCCAGAUGGUCAAGUAUGUCAUGGUGUGCCCUACUAUGUUCCAUAUGUGCUGGACAACAACAAUGCUGACCCAUGAUAUUAGAAUAUGGAUGCGAUAACACAAAUCUGGUACUCAAGUAAAGAAUGUAGUUGGGAGAUCAACAAAUCGGAACCUGCAUUGCCUAUUUACACAGUGCACCUAUUGGCGUCUCAUGAAUUUUGUGAAGGCAGAGCAACAUGUUUAUCCCCUUUUGUUCAUGAAUGGUUCAUAUUGAAAUUACCAAAACUGAGGGAACAUUUUGUACUUAAAUUUUGAAGGAAACGGUGGAUGUUUCUCGGGUUGCAUAACGCGAAAUUUUAUUUUAUUUUAUUCCUCCUUUUUAUUCGAGUCUAUGGUGCUGGAAAUUGGUAUUCUA